rnacentral:misc_RNA from 1 species
UGUGUAUCAAGACCAGAUGGUUGUGCUGGAGGUAGAUUAGGUGGUUCAAGGAGAAAGAGUAGGAAGAGAAGAAAAACUGUAAAGAAAAGGGUGUCUUCUCAUGUAUCAGAUCGAUCAGCAGCUGAUAAAGUUGAUAAGUCUUUCCCUUUGGAUCGUUCUUUCAAUAAUCCCACUUUUAAUGGAAGUACUGAAGAAGCAUGGUUUGAUUCUUCUGCAAGAUUUGAAUCUGAUGGCAGUGAUGAAGAUUUCCAGAGUG